GAGGACAGGUCGAGGACAAGCCUGACAUUCCAUCGAGACCCGUAGGAACUGGCCAAAGCCCAGCACCCAAGAGGAAACAUGGCUGGAAGAAGAGAUUGAUUUCAGGAACUGAAUUUCAACUACAGUGUUAUUGGAAAGGAGGCCUAAUCCAGACCCCAAGAGAGAGUUCUUGGAUCUCAUGCAAGAAAGAAUUCACGCAUACCUGUGAGGACAUCUGUAAAGGCGAAGAUCAAACUGAUGAAGAAACUGUCAAGAAAUGCUGUUGAAUCUCAGGUACUAUCGUUGGCCCAUUUUAACAAUUUUAAGGAAUCAGGUUUUGAAAUUUGGUCCACAAAGAAUUAUGUAUUUACUCAUACAUUUUACCCGCAAAUAGUAUAUGUUACCUCCAAAGGAGCAAUGCUGGUUGAAUUAUUUAUAAAAUGAUAAGCUUCUCAAGGAAGCUAUUAAGAGAGAGAAACCAGGGCCUUUUUCCUACACAGUGAUGGUUAAUAAAUCAAAAUAGACACUUUGUUAAUAUGGCUAAAUAUAAUAACAAUACUGACAACUAUAAAAGUCAAAUUAUUACAGAAAACAAAACUAAGUAUCAUAUAAUGCCUUUCUUAUUGAUCUGAGCAGUUCCA